AAUGAACGCUGGCGGCGUGCUUAACACAUGCAAGUCGAACGAGAAAGCGAACUUCGGUUCGUGAGUAGAGUGGCGCACGGGUGAGUAACGCGUGGGUAAUCUACCCUUGAAUCCGGGAUAACAUUGCGAAAAGUGGUGCUAAUACCGGUUGAAGUCAAAAUCACUGAGGUGAUAUUGAUGAAAGAUGGCCUCUAUUUAUAAGCUAUUGUUUGAGGAUGAGCCCGCGUACCAUUAGCUUGUUGGUGGGGUAACGGCCUACCAAGGCAGUGAUGGUUAGCUGGUCUGAGAGGAUGAUCAGCCACACUGGAACUGACACACGGUCCAGACUCCUACGGGAGGCAGCAGUGAGGAAUUUUUGCGCAAUGGGGGAAACCCUGACGCAGCAACGCCGCGUGAGUGAUGAAGGCUCUUGGGUCGUAAAGCUCUGUCAGUGGGGAAGAAGUUAUAGAAGGUUAAUAUCCUUUUAUAUUGACGGUACCCACAAAGGAAGCACCGGCUAA
rnacentral:rRNA from 1 species